GUGGGGAAUCUUCCGCAAUGGACGAAAGUCUGACGGAGCGACGCCGCGUGAGUGAAGAAGGCCUUCGGGUCGUAAAGCUCUGUCAUCAGGGACGAACGGCCGGUGGAGUGGAAAGCCACCGGAUUGACGGUACCUGAGAAGGAAGCCACGGCUAACUACGUGCCAGCAGCCGCGGUAAUACGUAGGUGGCAAGCGUUGUCAGGAAUUAUUGGGCGUAAAGCGCGCGCAGGUGGGAUCUUAAGUCCAUUUUUAAAGUUCGGAGCUCAACUCCGUGAUGGGAUGGAAACUGGGAUUCUUGAGUACCGGAGAGGAAAGCGGAAUUCCCCGUGUAGCGGUGAAAUGCGUAGAUAUGGGGAGGAACACCAGUGGCGAAGGCGGCUUUCUGGACGGUGUCUGACACUGAGGCGCGAAAGCCAGGGGAGCGAACGGGAUUAGAUACCCCUGUAGUCC
rnacentral:rRNA from 1 species